GAAAUGCCAUAAGUAAUGUGAAUUGCAGAAUUCAGUGAAUCAUCGAAUCUUUGAACGCACCUUGCGCUCCUUGGUAUUCCUUGGAGCAUGCCUGUUUGAGUAUCAUGAAAUCUUCAAAGUAAAUCUUUUGUUAACUCAAUUGGUUUCUACUUUGGUAUUGGAGGUCUUUGCAGCUUCACACCUGCUCCUCUUUGUUCAUUAGCUGGAUCUCAGUGUUAUGCUUGGUUCCACUCGGCGUGAUAAGUUAUCUAUCGCUGAGGACACUGUAAAAGGUGGCCAAGGUAAAUGCAGAUGAACCGCUUCUAAUAGUCCAUUGACUUGGACAAUACUUUUAUGAUCUGAUCUCAAAUCAGGUAGGACUACCCGCUGAACUUAAGC
rnacentral:misc_RNA from 1 species